rnacentral:rRNA from 1 species
ACAACGAAGAGUUUGAUCCUGGAUCAGGAUUAACUCUAGCGACAGGCUUAACACAUGCAAGUCGAGGGGUAACAUGGGGGUGGCAACACUUCUGAUGACGACCGGCGCACUGGUGAGUAACACGUAUGCAACCUGCCCCCUGCAGGGGAAUAACCCAGGGAAACUUGGCCUAAUGCCGCAU